UACGUAGGGACCGAGCGUUGUCCGGAAUCAUUGGGCGUAAAGAGCGUGUAGGCGGCCACUUAAGUCCUGCGUGAAAUCCUGCGGCUCAACCGCAGGCGGUCGUGGGAAACUGGGUGGCUAGAGGGCGGGAGAGGAGAGUGGAAUUCCUGGUGUAGCGGUGGAAUGCGCAGAUAUCAGGAGGAACACCAAUAGCGAAGGCAGCUCGCUGGGACGUUACUGACACUGAGGCGCGAAAGCGUGGGGAGCGAACAGG
rnacentral:rRNA from 1 species